GAUGAACGCUGACAGAAUGCUUAACACAUGCAAGUCAACUGUGGCGGACGGGUGAGUAACGCGUAAAGAACUUGCCUCACAGCUAGGGAGAACAUUUGGAAAAGAAUGCUAAUACCUGAAACUGUGAGAGAGCUUUGCGUCCCAUUAGCUAGUUGGAGAGGUAACGGCUCACAAAGGCGAUGAUGGGUAGCCGGCCUGAGAGGGUGAUCGGGCACAAGGGGACUUGGGCACGGCCCUUACUCCUUCGGGAGGCAUCAGUGGGGAAUAUUGGACAAUGUACCAAAGUCUGAUCCAGCAAUUCGGUUUGCACGAUGAAGUUUUCGGAAUGUAAAGUGCUUUCCUUUGGGAAGCGGUACCAACAGAAGAAGUGCCGGCUAAAUACGUGCCAGCAGCCGCGGUAAUUC
rnacentral:rRNA from 1 species